rnacentral:rRNA from 1 species
CAGCAGCCACGGGAAUACAGAGGGUGCGAGCGUUAAUCGGAUUUACUGGGCGUAAAGCGUGCGUAGGCGGCUUUUUAAGUCGGAUGUGAAAUCCCUGAGCUUAACUUAGGAAUUGCAUUCGAUACUGGGAAGCUAGAGUAUGGGAGAGGAUGGUAGAAUUCCAGGUGUAGCGGUGAAAUGCGUAGAGAUCUGGAGGAAUACCUAUGGCGAAGGCAGCCAUCUGGCCUAAUACUGACGCUGAGGUACGAAAGCAUGGGGAGCAAACAGGAUUAGAGACCCCAGUAGUCCCUGUCUCUUAUAC